rnacentral:rRNA from 1 species
GCAGUCGAGGGGCAUCGGGGCUAGGAGCUAUCCUUGCCGCCGGCGACCCGCUCACGGGUGAGUAACGCGUAUGCGACCUGCCCGUUGCAGGGGGAUAAUCGGGAGAAAUCCCGUCUAAUACCGCGUAACGCCGCGGGGCUGCAUGGCCCUGCGGCCAAAGGGAGCGAUUCCGGCAACGGAUGGGCAUGCGUGACAUUAGCUAGUUGGCGGGGUAACGGCCCACCGUGGCGACGAUGUCUAGGGGUUCUGAGAGGAAGGUCCCCCACACUGGAACUGAGACACGGUCCAGACUCCUACGGGAGGCAGCAGUGAGGAAUAUUGGUCAAUGGCCGGAAGGCUGAACCAGCCAUGCCGCGUGAAGGUCAGUGCCCUAUGGGCGUUAAACUUCUUUUGUGCGGGAGCAAUAAUGGUCACGUGUGGCCAGACGAGAGUACCGUACGAAUAAGCAUCGGCUAACUCCGUGCCAGCAGCCGCGGUAAUACGGGGGAUGCAAGCGUUAUCCGGAUUUAUUGGGUUUAAAGGGUGCGUAGGCUGUGAGGUAAGUCAGCGGUGAAAUGCCCCCGCUCAACGGGGUGAAGUGCCAUUGAUACUGCCUUGCUGGAAUGCGGAUGCCGUGGGAGGAAUGUGUGGUGUAGCGGUGAAAUGCAUAGAUAUCACACAGAACACCGAUUGCGAAGGCAUCUCACGAAUCCGCGAUUGACGCUGAUGCACGAAAGCG